AGAAGGUCCGUGUGAAGGUUCGUGAGAGGGAUGGAGAUGAAUUUCUCCUAAAAGUGUGUGGGAGAAAAUUUUUUAUGCUUUUUUUUCUUCAUUUUUUUUCCUUUAAUAGUUAAUGAGAGAGGGCCAGUGAAUGGAGAAAAAAGACUUUGAAAAGAGAGGGUUCUCCCUCCACAUAGCUUGUUACAAGAGGAUAAGAGAGAGCUCUCUUCCUAUAAACUGACACAUGGUUUUAUGGUCCGGAUCCCAUGGACUCCCCUUUCCUCAAAUUCCCCACACAACAAUAUGAGGGAUAUUAUUACAAAUAUUUUACAAAUA
rnacentral:lncRNA from 1 species